rnacentral:rRNA from 1 species
GGCGAACGCUGGCGGCGUGCUUAACACAUGCAAGUCGAACGGAAAGGCCCUGCUUUUGUGGGGUGCUCGAGUGGCGAACGGGUGAGUAACACGUGAGUAACCUGCCCUUGACUUUGGGAUAACUUCAGGAAACUGGGGCUAAUACCGGAUAGGAGCUCCUGCUGCAUGGUGGGGGUUGGAAAGUUUCGGCGGUUGGGGAUGGACUCGCGGCCUAUCAGCUUGUUGGUGGGGUAGUGGCUUACCAAGGCUUUGACGGGUAGCCGGCCUGAGAGGGUGACCGGCCACAUUGGGACUGAGAUACGGCCCAGACUCCUACGGGAGGCAGCAGUGGGGAAUAUUGCACAAUGGGCGGAAGCCUGAUGCAGCAACGCCGCGUGCGGGAUGACGGCCUUCGGGUUGUAAACCGCUUUCGCCUGUGACGAAGCGUGAGUGACGGUAAUGGGUAAAGAAGCACCGGCUAACUACGUG